rnacentral:rRNA from 1 species
GAUUUCUGGACGAAGCGCUCGCCGCCGCCGCUUUCGCGGUGCGCUGGUGAGCUUUGCAUCGUCCAUCCUCCGGUGUCGAGGUCCCUGGUCCUUGAUUGGGUCAGGGUUACCUGGCGGGCCUUAAAACCCGCCUCUCGCCCGGUCUUUUACUUUGAAGAAAUUAGAGUGUUUAAAGCAGGCUCGGUGCCGUUUGAAUACAUUAGCAUGGAAUAAUGAUCUAGGACUUCGGUUCUAUUUUGUUGGUUUCUAGGAUUGGAGUAAUGAUUGAUAGGGACAGUUGGGGGUGCUAGUAUUCAGAGGCCAGCAGUGAAAUGCGAUGAUUCUCUGAGGACUAACUUAUGCGAAAGCAUU